CUCCUGCUCCUGCUCCUGAAGCCAAUCAGCUCCACUGAAGAACUUUCCCAGGUGCAGACUCUGAGCCCGCAAAGCUCCGUGCAGGAAGCCCCUCCCGCACUCAGACCUCUGAGAAUGUGGGCGGAGCCUGGUGGGGAGAGAUGUUGAUCCUGUGAAAUAAAGUUCACAUUUUUCUCUGGUGUACAAAAGUCGAAGCAAUAGAAAUUUAAAGUCAGGAAACUAAAAGAAACAUCAGCUUUCUGUUCUGUAGAAUUCUCUCCCUUUCAGUUUCAUAUCAUUCUCUGUCUGAUUUAGGAAUAUUUUGUAGGAGAUAAAGUCAUUGAUGUAGAUACAUGCUAUGAUGAUAGUAAUGCAUUUAGAUACAUAUAUUAGAGCAGGAAAUUUUCAGGACAUAGUCGUGUAAAAUGUCUCCGAUCCAGUUAACUGACCACGUUUUAGAAGGCAGAAUUAGCUGUUAAAUGGAAGACAUACAGCUUAAAGCAGUUCCUUAGGUGCUGAGGAAGACCUAUUUUGUCUUCACACACAGUCAUUCUCUUUAUUAUUACUAGUCCUUAUCUCCAUGUUCGAAGACAUUUGUCAGUUGUAGAGAGGGAAAAUUUUUGAGAUUUUUUUGUUUUUGCCAUCUACACAAAAGCCAGUUCCAGUUUAUGACACAGCGCUCUCUGGGGGCAAAUAGCUAAGAAGAAGUUUGGUGAA
rnacentral:lncRNA from 1 species